GAUUUUGAUCGAAUGGCUGAAGGCUUAUCCGAAUUGAUUUGGAUGUGAUCCAAAUGAUUUUGAGCGCUGAUCUGAGCUGUGCGAUGCAGAUCUGAUGGUUGAUCUUAUUUUUUUGAUUCUAAAAUGAAUAGGAGUCCAUUUUUGAUACGAUUUGGACCUGGAUUCACAUGGUGACGAGCUUUAUUUAAAGGGAGGACUUGGG
rnacentral:lncRNA from 1 species